rnacentral:rRNA from 1 species
AGAGUUUGAUCCUGGCUCAGGACGAACGCUGGCGGCGUGCUUAAUACAUGCAAGUCGAGCGAGGUUACUGUUUUGGAUCCCUUCGGGGUGAAGAAGCUUUAACCUAGCGGCGGACGGGUGAGUAACGCGUGGGUAACCUACCCCAAAGUCCGGGAUAACAGCGGGAAACCGCUGCUAAUACCGGAUGCCUUUACCUUGGGGCAUCUUGAGGUAAAGAAAGGUAACGCUUUGGGAUGGGCCCGCGUCCCAUUAGCUAGUUGGUGAGGUAACGGCUCACCAAGGCGACGAUGGGUAGCCGGCCUGAGAGGGUGGACGGCCACACUGGGACUGAGACACGGCCCAGACUCCUACGGGAGGCAGCAGUAGGGAAUAUUGCGCAAUGAACGGAAGUCUGACGCAGCGACGCCGCGUGAGCGAUGAAGGUCUUCGGAUCGUAAAGCUCUGUCCUUGGGGAAGAAGGCGAAAGCUUGACGGUACCCAAGAAGAAAGCCCCGGCUAACUACGUGCCAGCAGCCGCGGUAAU